GCCCUCGUAGCCCAACGGGCAGAGGCACGACGUUGAGGACGUCGCCAGUGCGCGUUCGAAUCGCGCCGAGGGCAC
rnacentral:tRNA from 1 species